ACGAACGCUGGCGGCGUGCUUAACACAUGCAAGUCGAGCGGUAAGGCCUCUUCGGGGGUACACGAGCGGCGAACGGGUGAGUAACACGUGGGUGACCUGCCCUCAGCUCUGGGAUAAGCCUGGGAAACUGGGUCUAAUACCGGAUAUGACCACAUGUUGCAUGGUGUGUGGUGGAAAGUUUUUUCGGCUGGGGAUGGGCCCGCGGCCUAUCAGCUUGUUGGUGGGGUGAUGGCCUACCAAGGCGACGACGGGUAGCCGGCCUGAGAGGGCGACCGGCCACACUGGGACUGAGACACGGCCCAGACUCCUACGGGAGGCAGCAGUGGGGAAUAUUGCGCAAUGGGCGGAAGCCUGACGCAGCGACGCCGCGUGGGGGAUGACGGCCUUCGGGUUGUAAACCUCUUUCGACCGGGACGAAGCGUAAGUGACGGUACCGGUAGAAGAAGCACCGGCCAACUACGUG
rnacentral:rRNA from 1 species